rfam:Myotis davidii contig164825, whole genome shotgun sequence.
GGCCUCCCUCUGCGGGGCGAUCAAUCGUGGGGCUCCACCAUCGGUUGCCGCGCAGAGGGAGGCC